rnacentral:rRNA from 1 species
ACGAACGCUGGCGGCAUGCCUAACACAUGCAAGUCGAACGAGACCUUCGGGUCUAGUGGCGCACGGGUGCGUAACGCGUGGGGACCUGCCCUUAGGUUCGGAAUAACUCCCCGAAAGGGGUGCUAAUACCGGAUAAUGUCUUCGGACCAAAGAUUUAUCGCCUUUGGAUGGGCCCGCGUUGGAUUAGCUAGUUGGUAGGGUAAAAGCCUACCAAGGCGACGAUCCAUAGCUGGUCUGAGAGGAUGAUCAGCCACACUGGGACUGAGACACGGCCCAGACUCCUACGGGAGGCAGCAGUGGGGAAUAUUGGACAAUGGGCGAAAGCCUGAUCCAGCAAUGCCGCGUGAGUGAUGAAGGCCUUAGGGUUGUAAAGCUCUUUUACCCGGGAUGAUAAUGACAGUACCGGGAGAAUAAGCUCCGGCUAACUCCGUG